UGCCAGACUCCUACGGGAGGCAGCAGUGGGGAAUAUUGCACAAUGGGGGAAACCCUGAUGCAGCGACGCCGCGUGAGCGAAGAAGUACCUCGGUAUGUAAAGCUCUAUCAGCAGGGAAGAAAAUGACGGUACCUGAAGAAGAAGCCCCGGCUAACUACGUGCCAGCAGCCGCGGUAAUACGUAGGGGGCAAGCGUUAUCCGGAUUUACUGGGUGUAAAGGGGGCGCAGACGGCGAUGCAAGCCAGGAGUGAAAGCCCGGGGCUCAACCCCGGGACUGCUUUGGAAACUGCCAGGCUGGAGUGCUGGAGAGGCAAGCGGAAUUCCUAGUGUAGCGGUGAAAUGCGUAGAUAUUAGGAAGAACACCAGUGGCGAAGGCGGCUUGCUGGACAGCAACUGACGUUGAGGCUCGAAAGCGUGGGGAGCAAACAGGAUUAGAUACCCCAGUA
rnacentral:rRNA from 1 species